rnacentral:rRNA from 1 species
CAACUUUCAACAACGGAUCUCUUGGCUCUCGCAUCGAUGAAGAACGCAGCGAAAUGCGAUAAGUARUGUGAAUUGCAGAAUUCAGUGAAUCAUCGAAUCUUUGAACGCACCUUGCGCCCCUUGGUAUUCCGAGGGGCAUGCCUGUUUGAGUGUC